rnacentral:tRNA from 1 species
GCGCCCGUAGCUCAGCUGGAUAGAGCGACGGUCUACGGAACCGUAGGUCAGGGGUUCGAAUCCCUUCGGGCGCGCCA